UCUUAAAAGCAAAAUAGCUAGUCCUGGUGUCUGAGUGAUUCCCAGGGCCCAGCAAAGGGACCAAGUCUCCAGAGCCCUGAAGACAAGGGGUAACACACCAAAAUAUGGACUCAUUUUCCACUCCACCUUCAUUGGCCAAGCAGCUGCCAAGAACAAAGGCCACAUCUCCCAAUACCUGGCAAACAAAUGCAGUAUUGCCUCAUGAAUCGAUUGCUUCUCUGAGGUGCCCAUGAGUGUAUUUGGGGAGAGGCUUUGAGAACAAGUUGAAGAGCGACUGUCCUUCUAUGAGACUGGAGAGAUACCACGAAAGAAUCUGGAUGUCAUGAAGGAAGCAAUGGUUCAGGCAGAGGAAGCGGCUGCUGAGAUUACUAGGAAGCUGGAGAAACAGGAGAAGAAAUGCUUAAAGAAGGAAAAGAAAUGGCUGGUUGCACUUGCCCUCACAUCUUCAGAAAACAGCAGUAGUACUCCAGAGGAGUGUGAGGAGACGAGUGAAAAACCCAAAUAGAAGAAAAAGCAGAAGCCCCAGGAGGUUCCUCAUGAGAAUGGAAUGGAAGACCCAUCUAUCUCUUUCUCCAAACCCAAGAAAAAGAAAUCUUUUUCCAAGGAGGAGUUGAUGAGUAGUGAUCUUGAAGAGACUGCUGCCAGCACCAGUCUUCCCAAGAGGAAGAAGUCUUCACCGAAGGAGGAAACAGUUAAUGACCCCGAAGAGGCAGGCCACAGAAGUGGCUCCAAGAAAAAGAGGAAAUUCUCCAAAAAGGAGCCAGUCAGCAGUGGGCCUGAAGAGGCAGCUGGCAAGAGCAGCUCUAAGAAGAGAAAGUUCCAUAAAGCAUCCCAGGAAGAUUAGAAUGCAAACGGGCAUUCUCUGGGAGGUGGGGCAUACGAUAGCCCAAGGUGACAUCUCCCAACCUGUGCCCUGUUCCCCAAUAAAAACAAAUUCACA